rnacentral:rRNA from 1 species
AUUGAACGCUGGCGGCAUGCUUUACACAUGCAAGUCGAACGGUAACAGGUCUUCGGAUGCUGACGAGUGGCGAACGGGUGAGUAAUACAUCGGAACGUGCCUAGUAGUGGGGAUAACUACUCGAAAGAGUAGCUAAUACCGCAUGAGAUCUACGGAUGAAAGCAGGGGACCUUCGGGCCUUGUGCUACUAGAGCGGCUGAUGGCAGAUUAGGUAGUUGGUGGGGUAAAGGCUUACCAAGCCUGCGAUCUGUAGCUGGUCUGAGAGGACGACCAGCCACACUGGGACUGAGACACGGCCCAGACUCCUACGGGAGGCAGCAGUGGGGAAUUUUGGACAAUGGGCGAAAGCCUGAUCCAGCAAUGCCGCGUGCAGGAUGAAGGCCCUCGGGUUGUAAACUGCUUUUGUACGGAACGAAAAGCCUGGGGCUAAUAUCCUGGGGUCAUGACGGUACCGUAAGAAUAAGCACCGGCUAACUACGUGCCAGCCGCCGCAGUAACAC